GGAGUUAUUAGACUUCAAGGGGAGUUGCUUAAACAACCAGUUGCAGUGGCUACAAGUUCUGUUGAUGAGAGAUGGAAUUGCUUCAAGAACUGCCUAGGGGCAUUAGAUGGAACACAUAUUAGUAUCCAUGUGGCAACCGAAGACAAGCCUAGGUAUCGUACAAGGAAGAGCUCGAUUGCAACUAAUGUAUUAUGUGUAUGCUCCCAUAACUUGGAGGUUAUAUAUGUGUAUCCUGGCUGGGAAGGUUCAGCUGCCGAUUCUCGUGUUCUUAGAGAAGCAAUAUACAAAAAGAAUGGCUUAGAAGUUCCACAAGGUUACUAUUACCUUGUCGAUGCCGGUUAUCCGAAUAGUGGAGGAUUUCUUGCGCCUUUUAGAGGUCAACGUUAUCAUUUAAAGGAAUAGGGGCAAGGUCGUUUAGAACCAAGGAAAGCUGAA